GAAACAAUAGCUCUGAGCAUAAAAACUGGGGCCUCUUUCUGCCUGGGCUUUACCAGAUCAGCCUGGUUAUGUGAACUAUCUCACUGGUAUGCCAAGGCUGUCCAGGGUUUAGCAUCAAAGAUCCACAUUCAGGAAACCCUGUAGGGAUGGCUGGCCACUGUGGCUCUCUUUUAGUCCCUCUGGGUCUUAGAAGUUACUUUGGAGCAAAAAUCAACUGAUAAGUAUUUUUGCCAAUGCUCACAGCUGGUGUAGUAGGUGUUGCUGAGGCCGCCAUCUUAUAAGGAAACUGAGGUCGAGAGAGGAGUUCCACUGUGGGGAGGCUUGGAGCUGGCUAUUUCCUGCUUUUGGGGCACCUGGGCCUCAUUUUGCUCAAUGGAGAAAUAAUGCUCUCUGUCCUAGGCAAGUCUAGAUUCAGUCACUUAGUACCAAGGCCAAGUACCCAUCUGACGGCUUGUGGAUAAAAGGUAUCCUGCGGCACCUUUGGGAAUGGCAGUGACACUGAGACCCAGAGAUGUCCAGUGUCCUGGGCCAAGUAACAUAAUGGAGGCAGAAACAGCAUUAAAACACCACAGGGGCUGCAGGCACUGGAACCUUCCAGCCUCUAACCCUCCUCCACAGCUCGGAAGACCUAGAAAGAACACCACAGCUCUGCUGGCUAGAACCAGUUAACAGGUAACAGGCAUUGGUAAGGGGUGACCAUGUGACCCAAACUAUUCAAAUCAAUCUUAUAGACAUUAGUUUGGAGGAUGGUCAUAGGAUAAAAGACUGUCCAGUGAGAGAAACUAUCCAGGGGCCUCUCAUGUGGAUGCUGGGGUCUGUCU
rnacentral:lncRNA from 1 species